AUUUUUUUAAUAGGAGUCUGGUAUUGAUAAAUAAAUGUAUAUAUGCUUGUGUUCGAUUAAUCAAUGUCUUGUUUAUUUAUUUAUUUAUUAAAUAUCCUCUAAAUUAAUAACUCUGACGUCAUUGUAUGGCGCGAUCGUGAUCCCAAGGUCCAUUGCGUUUUUCCCUUUCCACUCGGUAAGUAGAAAAGUUAAUUAAUAGAGAUCGAGACUAUUCUUAAAUUUACAUAAUAAAACUGUAGAAUCAGGACAAGUUGUGUUUAGAACUUUUAGACGUGUAAGGCAGCAAUUUAUUAGGACGGUUAAUGAUAGAAAACUUUAUAUAUAUAUAUAUAUAUAUAUAUAUAUAUAUUUAAAUUACUUGCUGCACCACAUGUGCAGUAGGCUAGCAAAGUUAGCUAAUUCAAUUCAAAGUUAAUUUUUUUUCGCAUAUAAUCAUGAAGGUGCAAUCAUGGGGAAUACAAGAUUUUCAGUACUGAUGUGUUUCCAGUUACCUAUUUUAUAUAGCUCAAACUAUUAAGCCAUUUUAGCUAACAUUAUAAAUGGUCAGGCCAGUAAUUGUUUAAAAUCCACGGAUAAUUUGAUAAUAAAUGCCUAAAUAUUAUCUAUAAUAAACAGUAGAAACAAAUUCAUAACAACAACAGUAUUGUGUCUCAGCACAAUUUCUCACUAUAGAAUAAAACCAUGUGUAUAAUUUAUGUAAUAAUAAAUGAUUUUGUCAUAAGUUAUUGAUUGAUUCAUGUACUUUUUUACAGUGAGUUCUGCUGUGGUUUUGUUUGGAACUAUUUUUGUUGGCGAAAUAGAGCAAAACUUACAUUAUUAACAAUCACAAUCAAUUAGCAAUUAAUAAAAUCAAUUUUACAUACAUUCAAGCCCAAUCUGGCAACACAGGUGAAGAGAAUACUGGUGUAAAAUGUUAAAUUCUGUUUUUUUGUUUGUUUGUUUGUCUGUUUGUAUGCUUUUUCUUUAUCAUUAGGUCCCUCAAAUUUGCCAGCAAAAAAUAUCUUUAUUCUAACACUCCACCACAUACACAUACACACACAAAUAAAUAACAAAGGCACUUUUCAGAGCCACGUCCGUCUUGUUAACCUGUACCCAUCACCUGUACUCUCUUCAGCUCUCUUUCUCGCUCCCCUCUCCUCUCUUUGUCUCUCUUUGUCCCCCCUCCCUGUAUAUUUGUUUUAUUUGUCCAUCUCUUUGUUGCGAGUCUUUCUGUCUGUUUGUUUUUCUGUCCAUCACUAUGUCCAUGAGUGAUUCAGAAAUCCAAGAAAAUCUAAUGGUCUUGGAUAACUUGGUUGAUCAUCAAGAACUGAAGGAUGAGCUCCAAAGUCUUGAUGACUUUCUUGGUGAGCUGCAAGAACAGGAGGCGGCAGCAGCACCAUCAAAAACACCUGAGCCAAGGCAACCAAAGGUGCACUGGAGAAAAAGAGACGUGCAUGGAAAUAUUGUCUAUGCAAGGCCGAGAUCAAGCAGGGAUCAGUCAAAAAAGGCUGAUCACAUUCAGAACACUGAUCCUCCCUUCAAUGCUCCUGACACUUACUUUGAGGUGGCCUUUGCUCCAGAGACUGUUGGAUGUUUUCUACAAGAUCUUCAGCACUCACUGAGCGAUUCCUCAGGUGAUGAGGCAUCACCUCUUGGAACCCCAAGAGAUCUUCUUCUGGCAUCCUCGAACUGAAGUAUUCGUCAGAGUCUCUUUUCAGAGAGGUGGAGGGCAGAGAGACCCCGUCUGGUAAGCACGGCUGCAGCAAAAGAAAGUGUGGCAACACACAUCUGCCAGCAGUGUUGGAGCAGUCCAGCAGUUAUCCGGUGCAGUGACUGUCGACCACGCCCCUUCUUCUGUGCUGAAUGUGACAUCAGCAUGCACA